AAGCCCAAACACUAAUCUUUGUGUCACACCCGGGUUUUAGGGGGUCCAAAGCCCGGGCGUAAACAUAAACACCAGGUGUGCUGGGACCAAGUCUCACACAUAUGAUGCAUAGUGGCUCAGGAUCGAAUGUCACAUCUUUACUACAUAACAGGAGUUCUAUACAAAAUAAAUAGAUAAUUACAUUAUAAGGAGACAACGGUCCAGCAACCCAAAGUUGACUGGGAGACGACGACCUAGACCUCUCACGAACUCGACACAGCAUCCUUCAUGCGCCUCAUCCUGUGGUACCUGUUCUUGACCUGUGGGGGGGGUGUGAGACAGCAAGAGUGAGCUCACAUACGUUCAUCGCUCAACAAGUUGUGGGGAAUAAUGUGUAUGAACUCGCCAAAGGUGGGAGCUCAUGUGAAGUGUAAGGCUUACCAAAGAGGAUGGUUAGAGCUGAGCAUUGCUUUUAAAGUUGGUCAAAAUUUUAUUAGCAAUUACUAAGUAUAAGUAAAUACCAACCCAAUUAAAUAGUAGAACAGAAGUAACAACAUCACCUGUACAACAUCACCUGCGAUGCAAUGCAUAUGACAAAUUGAGUUUAAUUCCAUAAUUUAAUCAUGUGAGUGUCCGAGCCGCUCAUGACCGUGAGCACGGCUAGUAUACCAGUUUUACACUCUGCAGAGGUUGCGCAUCUUUACCCACAAGUCAUGUUACCCAUCUGCCAAGGGAUCGCGACUUCCCAUACACCUCUACCGAGGAGGCGAGGCAGGGUAACACUACGAGGCCUUUACAAAGUUCCACUAGCUUCAGAAAACCCGCUACAGUUUAUAGGAAGCUCCAAUGCAGGAAUCCCUUGCAGGACCGCCAUCACAGCAAAAUCCUCCCGAGGGCCUCCCCAGGAAUCCCUUGCAGGACCGCCAUCACAGCAAAAUCCUCCCGAGGGCCUUCCCAGGAAUCCCUUGCAGGACCGCCAUCACAGCAAAAUCCUCCCGAGGGCCUCCCUACACUGACCACUCCCCUACUGCCCUUGCCCCUUUCGGGUAAGGUAGUCUUCCACUAGCUUUCCUAAUUAAUCGGCCAAGGGCGUCCCAUUAAACCCUUGUGGUAGCACUGUUUUCCCGGGUGGUUCUCCAUGUUCCAAUUAACAUAAUGAUCUUAUCAUGAACAGUGAUAAUAAACAGAUAAUAAAAGUGUGAUCAUGAAUAAUGUAUCUUCAUACCCAAAACCACAUAAAGCACUAGCAAGUACUACCCAAAAAGUUCAGUGGUAAACAAGGUAUAAAGAUAGACAAACUAGGGUAACCUAUUGGGUCCCAUCAAAUUAACCUAUGCAGAUCAUUAUGAUUAAUUAGAACAUGAGUGGGUAAAAAGAAGUGAUCAAGGGCACAACUUGCCUGGGACUUGAGAUUCCAGGUACCAGGAUGAUCUUCAGAUGACUCGUGACCUCACUGCUAGUCGUAGCAAUACAGACAAACAUGGUAUAGCUAAAAUUAACAUCACACCAAACAUAAGAACAAACUGAAUAAGGAUGAUCUAUGCGUUUCUACGAGACUAGCGCAAUUUGAACGGAUCAAAUCGGAGUUAAAACGGAGGAGAUACGAAUUUCUUGAGGUUUUAUGUAUUUGAUACGAGAUUAGCUAAGAAAUGAAUUUUAAUAUCAUUUUCGUGUUAAAAUAGAGACACUAAGUAUUAAAUAAUAUUAAUACAAAAUUAUAGGGACUGGGAUAGAUUAAAAGGAGUUAAAAUGCAUUUUCUAGGAAUUAAUUAAGUUCCUAUAAUUAUUCUCACACAAAAAUGUAUUUUCUAAAUGAAUUCCUUUGAUUUUCUGUUCUCUGGACCGAGCGCACUAUUUACAGAAAACACAGGGACUACGUCGCAAAUAUUCCAAGACUCAGUGUACAGCCGCAUAGGACGGCGGGUUUAUUUUUAAACUAAUCAGGGACUCUUUUGCAAUGUUACGCAGCCGAAAGGGUUUCGUGGGAUCUCGGUCGCACAGAUUACAAUAAACGGCCCAGAUUAAAUGAUGAAUCGGUACGCACCCGGGGUCACUGGAUUUCGAUCCAACGGCCCAAGAUCGCCCGGAUGAAACGGUACAGGGCCGACUAAUCUUGGUCGUUGGUGGCUUGAUCGGCGGCUAGGAUCGGAGGGGCCAACAGGUCACUACUAACUUUAAUCGUGACCACCCCUCUACAAUCCAACGAUGCCAGGGUCGUCUCCCUCACCAGAUUCAAUCCUAGCCAUCCACAGCCGAACGAACGGCCAAGAGGCCAUCACCGACCUCCGGCCAGAUCCUCUAAGACGCGCAGGCAUCCCACGAUGGCGCUAGCCGCCGGCGAGGCCACGGACGACGCCCCGCUGCUCAAUCCACGAACCAACGAAUUCAAUCGCCACAAGAAGGACAAAGCGAAGGAUGCAGAGAGGGUCUUACCAGACAUCAGAGCUGUGAAACCGUUCGCCGCGCAGAGACAGCCAGUGGCGGCGCAAUCCUUCCCCAGAUCUCGUGCUGUGGUCGAGGACGAGCUUGGCCAAACCGAUCCAAACCUCUGCGUGAAUCAUGGAGAACCGGUGAAGCCGCCCUCACUCAGCCCACCGCCAGAAGCGAAGCUCGUUUCGAGUCGUGGCUUCGGGAAGAGGACGACCCGUCAGGAGGGGCCCACGCGCCAGUGGUGUGAGACGGAAGAGCACGCGUGCGGCCGGCUGACACGGCGGACUCAAUCUCGCCCACGCACCUCCCUCCCCCACAGCGGCGACGGCGACCCGGAAGUUCUGCCCUGGCGCACGCGCGAGGAUAGGGAAGAUGUUCUGGGCGACCCUGCGACACCUCCAAACCUGUAGAUGUCUUGGAUGCUUCUCCUCAACCCAGCGCCCUUCCGCGAGACCGAGGUUGGCGGCCCCUCAUUGCUGCAGCGGUGCUGCACGGUUCAUCCAAGGAGUCGCCAUCCAAGCUCUCACCCCGCGCGGCAAGGAGCUCUCGGCGGCCAUCCAAUCUUCCUCCAUGUGGUGAAGCAGCACCGAGCGGCACACGCAGUUGACUAUGACCCCUAGCGGCUGAUCUGUCCCUUCCCCGCCAUGGCGCACAAUGGUGGUCGAUGAAGACAGGAUGGAAGAGAUCAUGGCCCAGGUUUUAUAGCCAAGCGGCGGAGUCCGAUACAGAAGCCCGGAGUCCGCGGAGUACGUCCGGCGGGGGCGGUCGAGUUGUUGCGUAGCCCAGAUUUCCGGCAAGCUGUUGCAAGGCUUCGGUUGGGGAAGAAACCCCGACAAGCCGGGCCCCCGCAUCAGUGAAAAAAAGAUGGGCAGGCUGACCAGUGUCUGGUAAGUGGGCCCCACGUCAACACGAAGCCGAGGCUGGCAGUGGGACAAGCCGCGACAACGGGAAGCGCAAGCGCGGGCGGAAUCAAGCCCAAGGCUGACCGGUGGGUUCCACCCGCCAGUGUCAAACGCGUGGAUUGGGCUGGUUGAAGGAGGAAAGGGAGUGGGCUGAAGGGCUAGGAAUUCGGCCCAUCAGGAGAAAACUGUUUUCUUUUUUUUUUCUCUCUUGUUCAUUUCUAUUUUUUUUUUAUUUUUAAAUUUUCAAAUCCACUUUCAAAUUUGGUUUUGGAUUUCAAAUUCAAUUAAAUGCACAAUCAUAAGAACCAGCAUGAGAUGCAAGUAUUCAUUUUAUUUUAUUUAUUCAUUUAUUUAUUAUCCUACAUAAGAAAAUGUUUUUGGAUAUGUAGCACACAUAUAAUUAUUUUAAGACAAAUAGUUUCUAGUGUGUGAUUACUUAUUAGAAGAUGUUCUUAUACGUUUCAACAAAAGAUAAUUUAUAGAAGAAUCUUUUAUUGAUUCUUUAUUAUAAAACUUUUAUUUUAGGAGAUGUGACUUCAAGAGUUAUGGGAAUUCUAAAAAAAUCUAAUUUAAGAUCUUUGGAAAAAAAAUUUACGUAAUUCUCAAAAUGAGAUUUUGAGGUGUUACAAAUCCUACCCCCCUUAAAAAUAAUCUCGUCCUCGAGAUUUGAAGAAAAGGGAUGCAACCAGUUUGGUUUAGGAAUCAAAAGUUUUGUUUCAUGUUUUUUUAUAGUAGCUAGUAGAUGAUUUGGAAAAUAUAGACAUAUACGUCUAGCCAUCUAUUAGGUCAGAUGAGGUACGAUUAUGGCAAGUAUAGAUAAUAGGUUGUGGCAAGGAAGAGUAUAAUAAGGAAAGACUUCAUCCUGAACUGUGGAUCUUGAUUCCGCUGGCGAUUCAACUUGAUCUUUGAAGUCUUGUGUUGAUGCUUAUCCUUCUUUGACAUGGUUGGUCUUCUUUGGCCUUUAUUUCUUGGAGUUGUCAUCCGAGUUAAGGACAUAUGGCUAGGACAUAUGUGAGUAGGAUGGAUUGUAUGGUGCAGGUAGGUUAGAAUCUCUUGCUAGGUUAAAAUUGUGGGGUUAUGCAACUAUUGGAUGGUUAAGGUAGUUGCAUAUGGCCAAGUCGAUCUGUCAUUCUUAAUUUAGUGCAGGGUGAACUAAGUUAAGACCCGUUCUAUAGGAGUAGAGUCUAAUAUAUUUCAUCAGUAUUAUCUAACAUGUUUGAUAAGUCACUUUAGAUUAGAUCAGAUCUAGGUUAGAUUGGUGUGACUAGUUUGACUAGAUAAGAUCUUAUUUAUUUUAGGCUAGAUCAUGGUUGUUACACUAGCGUGGGAUAAAUAUGCUUAUUGGGGUAAGAUGAAUCCAUAAGGAUAAGGUAGAAUCUUUUGAGGUCAGAUAGAUCUAUUAGGAUAAGAUAAAUCUUUUCAAGAUAAGAUGAGAAUCUAUUUUUUUUAGGAUAAGAUGGAUCUAUGAGUGUAGGAUAGACUUUUUCAAGAUAAGAUGGAUUUUGCUAGGCUAGAUUCUUUGAUGAGGGAUAACCUAGUUCAUUUAGAUAUUUUUAUAAGCACUUUUUCUAUAUGUAUAUGCAGAUGUAAUUGUGGACAUUACUCCACAACUCAUCGCACUCAAUCACAGAUCCAAAUCAGACAAGUAUCAUAAGAACAAAACAUUCAAAUUCAUAGAUAUAAAAAAAAUAGUUUUAUUUUUGUUCCUAAGAGUAGGUCUCCUAUUCCAAAAAGUCACUUUAACCACAGGAUUUCAAAGUGUGAAAUCCAAGUUUGUCUUUAGAAGUGAAAAGGUAAGAAUAAUCAGAGUAAAGCGGAAAUAGAUGAGAAAAGAUUAAGAGAAGUUUAGAAAAGAAUCAGAGUAGCAAAGGUAAGUAGGUAGAGGUUGUCCAGUUCUAUCUAGGUUUCGUCCUACAGUCAACAUUCCUCUGAUACCACUUCUGUCACACCCGGGUUUUAGGGGGUCCAAAGCCCGGGCGUAAACAUAAACACCAGGUGUGCUGGGACCAAGUCUCACACAUAUGAUGCAUAGUGGCUCAGGAUCGAAUGUCACAUCUUUACUACAUAACAGGAGUUCUAUACAAAAUAAAUAGAUAAUUACAUUAUAAGGAGACAACGGUCCAGCAACCCAAAGUUGACUGGGAGACGACGACCUAGACCUCUCACGAACUCGACACAGCAUCCUUCAUGCGCCUCAUCCUGUGGUACCUGUUCUUGACCUGUGGGGGGGGUGUGAGACAGCAAGAGUGAGCUCACAUACGUUCAUCGCUCAACAAGUUGUGGGGAAUAAUGUGUAUGAACUCGCCAAAGGUGGGAGCUCAUGUGAAGUGUAAGGCUUACCAAAGAGGAUGGUUAGAGCUGAGCAUUGCUUUUAAAGUUGGUCAAAAUUUUAUUAGCAAUUACUAAGUAUAAGUAAAUACCAACCCAAUUAAAUAGUAGAACAGAAGUAACAACAUCACCUGUACAACAUCACCUGCGAUGCAAUGCAUAUGACAAAUUGAGUUUAAUUCCAUAAUUUAAUCAUGUGAGUGUCCGAGCCGCUCAUGACCGUGAGCACGGCUAGUAUACCAGUUUUACACUCUGCAGAGGUUGCGCAUCUUUACCCACAAGUCAUGUUACCCAUCUGCCAAGGGAUCGCGACUUCCCAUACACCUCUACCGAGGAGGCGAGGCAGGGUAACACUACGAGGCCUUUACAAAGUUCCACUAGCUUCAGAAAACCCGCUACAGUUUAUAGGAAGCUCCAAUGCAGGAAUCCCUUGCAGGACCGCCAUCACAGCAAAAUCCUCCCGAGGGCCUCCCCAGGAAUCCCUUGCAGGACCGCCAUCACAGCAAAAUCCUCCCGAGGGCCUUCCCAGGAAUCCCUUGCAGGACCGCCAUCACAGCAAAAUCCUCCCGAGGGCCUCCCUACACUGACCACUCCCCUACUGCCCUUGCCCCUUUCGGGUAAGGUAGUCUUCCACUAGCUUUCCUAAUUAAUCGGCCAAGGGCGUCCCAUUAAACCCUUGUGGUAGCACUGUUUUCCCGGGUGGUUCUCCAUGUUCCAAUUAACAUAAUGAUCUUAUCAUGAACAGUGAUAAUAAACAGAUAAUAAAAGUGUGAUCAUGAAUAAUGUAUCUUCAUACCCAAAACCACAUAAAGCACUAGCAAGUACUACCCAAAAAGUUCAGUGGUAAACAAGGUAUAAAGAUAGACAAACUAGGGUAACCUAUUGGGUCCCAUCAAAUUAACCUAUGCAGAUCAUUAUGAUUAAUUAGAACAUGAGUGGGUAAAAAGAAGUGAUCAAGGGCACAACUUGCCUGGGACUUGAGAUUCCAGGUACCAGGAUGAUCUUCAGAUGACUCGUGACCUCACUGCUAGUCGUAGCAAUACAGACAAACAUGGUAUAGCUAAAAUUAACAUCACACCAAACAUAAGAACAAACUGAAUAAGGAUGAUCUAUGCGUUUCUACGAGACUAGCGCAAUUUGAACGGAUCAAAUCGGAGUUAAAACGGAGGAGAUACGAAUUUCUUGAGGUUUUAUGUAUUUGAUACGAGAUUAGCUAAGAAAUGAAUUUUAAUAUCAUUUUCGUGUUAAAAUAGAGACACUAAGUAUUAAAUAAUAUUAAUACAAAAUUAUAGGGACUGGGAUAGAUUAAAAGGAGUUAAAAUGCAUUUUCUAGGAAUUAAUUAAGUUCCUAUAAUUAUUCUCACACAAAAAUGUAUUUUCUAAAUGAAUUCCUUUGAUUUUCUGUUCUCUGGACCGAGCGCACUAUUUACAGAAAACACAGGGACUACGUCGCAAAUAUUCCAAGACUCAGUGUACAGCCGCAUAGGACGGCGGGUUUAUUUUUAAACUAAUCAGGGACUCUUUUGCAAUGUUACGCAGCCGAAAGGGUUUCGUGGGAUCUCGGUCGCACAGAUUACAAUAAACGGCCCAGAUUAAAUGAUGAAUCGGUACGCACCCGGGGUCACUGGAUUUCGAUCCAACGGCCCAAGAUCGCCCGGAUGAAACGGUACAGGGCCGACUAAUCUUGGUCGUUGGUGGCUUGAUCGGCGGCUAGGAUCGGAGGGGCCAACAGGUCACUACUAACUUUAAUCGUGACCACCCCUCUACAAUCCAACGAUGCCAGGGUCGUCUCCCUCACCAGAUUCAAUCCUAGCCAUCCACAGCCGAACGAACGGCCAAGAGGCCAUCACCGACCUCCGGCCAGAUCCUCUAAGACGCGCAGGCAUCCCACGAUGGCGCUAGCCGCCGGCGAGGCCACGGACGACGCCCCGCUGCUCAAUCCACGAACCAACGAAUUCAAUCGCCACAAGAAGGACAAAGCGAAGGAUGCAGAGAGGGUCUUACCAGACAUCAGAGCUGUGAAACCGUUCGCCGCGCAGAGACAGCCAGUGGCGGCGCAAUCCUUCCCCAGAUCUCGUGCUGUGGUCGAGGACGAGCUUGGCCAAACCGAUCCAAACCUCUGCGUGAAUCAUGGAGAACCGGUGAAGCCGCCCUCACUCAGCCCACCGCCAGAAGCGAAGCUCGUUUCGAGUCGUGGCUUCGGGAAGAGGACGACCCGUCAGGAGGGGCCCACGCGCCAGUGGUGUGAGACGGAAGAGCACGCGUGCGGCCGGCUGACACGGCGGACUCAAUCUCGCCCACGCACCUCCCUCCCCCACAGCGGCGACGGCGACCCGGAAGUUCUGCCCUGGCGCACGCGCGAGGAUAGGGAAGAUGUUCUGGGCGACCCUGCGACACCUCCAAACCUGUAGAUGUCUUGGAUGCUUCUCCUCAACCCAGCGCCCUUCCGCGAGACCGAGGUUGGCGGCCCCUCAUUGCUGCAGCGGUGCUGCACGGUUCAUCCAAGGAGUCGCCAUCCAAGCUCUCACCCCGCGCGGCAAGGAGCUCUCGGCGGCCAUCCAAUCUUCCUCCAUGUGGUGAAGCAGCACCGAGCGGCACACGCAGUUGACUAUGACCCCUAGCGGCUGAUCUGUCCCUUCCCCGCCAUGGCGCACAAUGGUGG
rnacentral:lncRNA from 1 species